rnacentral:ncRNA from 2 species
UAAAGUUCUCAGGGCGGGGUGAAAGUCCCCACCGGCGGUAAAGGUUUCGGCCUGAGCCCGCGAGCGCCCUCCGAUGGUCGGAGGGGUCAGCAGAUCCGGUGUGAAUCCGGAGCCGACGGUUACAGUCCGGAUGGAAGAGAACGAAA